ACGCCCGUAAAUGCCUAGUCUUUCGGCCUUCUAAGCCGUAGGUCACACGUUCGAGUCGUGUAGGGCGGGCCA
rnacentral:tRNA from 1 species